UACGUAGGGGUGCAAGCGUUAAUCGGAAUUACUGGGCGUAAAGCGCGCGUAGGUGGUUUGUUAAGUUGAAUGUGAAAUCCCCGGGCUCAACCUGGGAACUGCAUCCAAAACUGGCAAGCUAGAGUAUGGUAGAGGGUGGUGGAAUUUCCUGUGUAGCGGUGAAAUGCGUAGAUAUAGGAAGGAACACCAACGGGCGAAAAGCACUCUGCUGGGCCGACACUGACACUGAGAGACGAAAGCUAGGGGAGCGAAUGGG
rnacentral:rRNA from 1 species